rnacentral:rRNA from 1 species
AGUCGCGUAAGGGUGCGUAACACGUGGGUAAUUUGCCGCGAAGUCAGGAAUAACUUGCCGAAAGGCGAGCUAAUACCUGAUGUGGUUGACUGCAGGCAUCUGUGAUCAACCAAAGCCGGGGACCGUAAGGCCUGGCGCUUCGCGAUAAGCCCGCGGCCUAUCAGCUAGUUGGUGGGGUAACGGCUCACCAAGGCUAAGACGGGUAGCUGGUCUUAGAGGACGACCAGCCUCACUGGAACUGAGACACGGUCCAGACACCUACGGGUGGCAGCAGUCGAGAAUUUUUCACAAUGGGGGAAACCCUGAUGGAGCGACGCCGCGUGGGGGAUGAAUGGCUUCGGCCCGUAAACCCCUGUCAUUCGGGAUCAAUGCUGAUAACUUAACACGUUAUCAGUUGAUAGUACUGAAAGAGGAAGGGACGGCUAACUCUGUGCCAGCAGCCGCGGUAAUACAGAGGUCCCAAGCGUUGUUCGGAUUUACUGGGCGUAAAGGGCGCGUAGGUGGCGGGCUAAGUCUGGUGUGAAAGCUCUGAGCUCAACUCAGAAAUGGCACUAGAAACUAGUCUGCUAGAGGAUUGGAGGGGAGACUGGAAUUCUCGGUGUAGCAGUGAAAUGCGUAGAUAUCGAGAGGAACACCAGUGGCGAAGGCGAGUCUCUGGACAACUCCUGACACUGAGGCGCGAAAGCUAGGGGAGCAAACG